rfam:Pristionchus pacificus strain PS312 contig13603, whole genome shotgun sequence.
UCUUCAUUUCACGUGCUCUCUCACCGGUCAGACAGGCGCGAGAGCACGUGAAAUGAAGAGA